rnacentral:rRNA from 1 species
AACGCGAAGAACCUUACCUGGCCUUGACAUCCUAGGAAUCCCGAAGAGAUUUGGGAGUGCCGCAAGGAGCCUAGAGACAGGUGCUGCAUGGCUGUCGUCAGCUCGUGUCGUGAGAUGUUGGGUUAAGUCCCGCAACGAGCGCAACCCUUGUCCUGUGUUGCCAUACCGAAAGGUGGAACUCGCAGGAGACCGCCAGGGAUAACCUGGAGGAAGGUGGGGAUGACGUCAAGUCCUCAUGGCCUUUAUGUCCAGGGCUACACACGUGCUACAAUGGACGGUACAAAGGGCUGCCAACCCGCGAGGGGGAGCCAAUCCCAAAAAACCGUUCUCAGUUCGGAUUGCAGGCUGCAACUCGCCUGCAUGAAGCUGGAAUCGCUAGUAAUGGCGGAUCAGAACGCCGCCGUGAAUACGUUCCCGGGCCUUGUACACACCGCUAGUC